ACCGGACCUUUUUCCAGUGUGAAACAGAGCAGAAAAUAAGGGUUUAUCCUACCAAGCCGAGCCACCACUGCCUGACAGUUUGGUGUCCCCGCUCUUCUGUAUCCCACUGUACUCUCAUUCUGGGAAGGUCCCUCCUCUAACAUGCAUGCAUUUUGCUGUGCCUCUGUCUCUCUCUGCCACCUCCUUUUAGUUUUGCUUCCCUCCACAUCCAGCUGCCUCCGACAGGGAAUGACACAGGCUCCAGAUGCUGUCUGCAAGUGCCCUCUCGAUUCCCAUAGCAACAACCCCUCUCGGCUUUGGGGCUGAGAGCUGCUGGGCAUCUGCUCUGUGGCUCUGACCAGCUCCCGUCACACACAAGACCAAGUGGUACUUAUCCCCGGGUGGGCUGGGGAGGGGAAACCUUCUUUAUCGGGGAGGCGAGAGAUGUCAUUUGAUAUUGUGGUGAAAUAGGACCGUAAUUAUUAAUUAGUGGCAACCCUCCUGGUGAGCUGCCUGUACCCUGCAGGCAGGGUGACGGGCUCCCAGCUGUGCCCUGCGAUGGGACUGUCCUUUCCAGGCACCCGCUGCAGCUGGGGCUCAGACCCUCUCAGCCCAAACUCGGCAGCUUAAUUUCCACAUCCCUUCUGUUAAUCAUUACAAGGACAGAAAGAAAAACCAGCAGCUUUUUUGUUUUGUUUUUUUUUUUCUUUUCCUCUGUAAACUCCAGAAGCAUGGAGAAAGCAUAAAGCCCGUGCUUUCGCCCAACAUCCUCCGUGCCACCCCCGGAGCCAAGGAAUUUGUCAUUUAAGUGAAGUAUCCUGGCAAAGGCAUCUCCCAUGGGAAGGUGUGGCCGAAAACCAGGGGGAAAGCGAAGUACCCGAUGGUCAAUUCUCUGAGCAGAUGCCAAAUGCCAUCUGCUGCCUGGCUGUGCCCUGCUGCAGUGCCCGCGCCGGUGGGGAGAUGGAGCAGCAGCGGCAGCGGUGGGUGACUCUUGGUCAUGGAAGAGCUUUGGAGGCAGGGUCUCUUCCACCCUCGCAAUGGAGAGGCUGUUGGAUGGGCUGCAAGCACGCAGAGCAGCUGGAAACAGCUCCUUCUCAGAAUGCACCGACAUGGACAAUGUCACCAACAGAGACAGCAAAACCAACGUAGAAGGCAGCUCCUGAGGUUUACAGGGAUGUAUAAGGUGAAUGUACAAGAGCUGCUAAUCAUCCAUUUUGACUGCUUUUAUGGGUCUGGGAAGGCUGAAAAAACUGCAUAUAGGAAACAGCCUGCACUUAGGAACAACAAUUGCUUUCUGAUGACACACAGAAAUGACAUUUAGAUGCUACUUCAACAGAUGCAUUAUUUUAUUAGAGGAAUUCAGGCAGACAAAUACAGGAGCUUUGUUUUCUCUGUUACUGUAUGACUUACCUCAUCUGCAGAUGAUAUAACCUUUCUACCAAGAGGUCUCAUUUCAAAUGACAGUGAAAAUUGUUCUGAGAACUAGCGGUGUUAGUUCUACUUCAGACUCUCAGGGGGUUUCAUCCACUCACCGUUUCUAGAGGUGCUUUGCUGGAGAGGGAUUUCAUCCUCCUCAAAAAAUUAUUUGCUGAAAUCUGUGGUAAGUUUAGAGUUUCCCGAUUCACCUGACAGCAAUGUGUAUGGGAAGUUUGUCUAAUGUAGCUCUAAUAAAAAUAUCAGUCCUAAAACA
rnacentral:lncRNA from 1 species